rnacentral:rRNA from 1 species
UACAGAGGGUGCGAGCGUUGUUCGGAAUUACUGGGCGUAAAGGGCCAGUAGGCGGCCAACUAAGUCCGACGUGAAAUCCCAAGGCUUAACCUUGGAACUGCGUCGGAUACUGGAUGGCUAGAGUUCGGGAGAGGGAUGCGGAAUUCCAGGUGUAGCGGUGAAAUGCGUAGAUAUCUGGAGGAACACCGGUGGCGAAGGCGGCAUCCUGGACCGACACUGACGCUGAGGAGCGAAAGCCAGGGGAGCAAACGGG